rnacentral:lncRNA from 1 species
UGUUCACAGACCCAGUACUUAAGAGGAGUACCCUGGCCAUCCCGGAAGCCAUACACCUGAGGACGUCGGAUGGGAAGCCGGUGGAGUUGAGAGGAUCAGAGACCACUUACUUCCGCAGUGCCCAGGAGGCUGAGAGGUCGUCCGGGGUAACGGACAAGGAGAAGGAGACCACCGGGCAUAGGCUGCUGAACAUGUUGAGAAAAACUCUUCAAGGGUCUGAGAGUGAAGAACUGGAAAUAGCACCAUCUGAGCUACCAUCUUUGGUGCCAUUUGGGGAUGUGGUUGGCUGCCUGGCUGUUCAUGUAAAGAACUGCAGAAAUUUUGCACAGAGGAGUAUCCUUUCUUUGGGUUUAAAACUCAUAGUAUGAU